ensembl:snoRNA
CUGAUUCAACUAUGAUUUUUAUUUGUUUGACUGAUUUCCUUUUGGAUAAUGAAGGCAUCUAUUAGUCACCAUAUCUUCUGAGACAU